UGCGCGCUCCCUCCGUGUAUCUCACGUACGCUUUAGACAUAACGAGUACUCGUGCAUCAGCGUAGUGGGUUCUAACCUCUACGUAUAGGCGUUCUCGUUUCAACGCGCACUCACCAACACGCUAGAACCUUUUGCUGCAUAUACGAUACACAUAUAUACUCGUUCUAUACACUGAUCGUAUCUCUUUGUAGGGGUGCGUUCACUUACACGAGCUCUAGAUCAUUCUCAACAUUUGUGGGCUAAAGGGAGGAGAAGUGGAGAACCUCAUAGAGGAUUACUAGAGAUCCACGAUGUGAUGACCUUCCGACAGGGAUUCUUGGUUUCCGUGAUUGCAUUUAUAGGCUGCCAUCGCCAUUAUGGUACACGUGUACUCACCGGAUUAAAUCAUGUUUACGUAUUCUAAGACUGUCGUUCGAAGAGCAAAAUGACUAUGCCAUCAAAUUAAAUAAUUUCGAAUUAUUUACGUACAAGAUCCAAUAUUGUACACCUAUUCCGCGAAGUUAUACGCAAAUAUUGAAUUUCUGCAAAACAUAUAAACGUGUACUACUUUACAGCGAAAACUUCGCUUAAGUUUGCUAUAAUGAUACACAGAUAGAAAGGAAACAGCUUGUUCAUACUUACUCGAUUUUAUUUGAAACAGUUACCGAGAAAAGAAUAAUUUGCGAUGGCUUCUAAUAAAUUCGCAAUUCUUCGAACGAAAUAUGUCCACAACACCUUUAUGUCCGAUGCUAAUGAAUUUCACAGUCAUUUAAAUUUAACGCGAUAUUUGAUUCAAAUGCAAUUACAUGGUACUUACGUAUAUUGCCUUUCAAAGAUCACAGUGUACUCUACACUACAUAGAAAAGCAUAUCUAGGGCAGUGGUACUCAUUGGUUUCUUUCGAGUGAUCCUUGAAUUAAAAUAUUGUAUUUUGAUUCGAUCAAUGACAUUUAACUUUUAUUUAUAUAAUGCUCACUGAUACUACAUCUAAUUUCGAAGACGACAAUUAUCCGAUCAAAUUUUUAGUAAUCUCAAUUGUUUGUCGAGGUAAUAUCGUUAACACGGAUCAGUGAGUACAUCUACUCACCAUAUCAAGAAGCAUAUGAUUCUAAACGAAACAAAUAACACGUCCGAUCGACUCCCGAUAUAACUCGUGUAAUACAAAUUAAAGUGAAUUGUACAUUAAUUGAAAUGCUCGAUCGUACAAAAUUAUCACUCGUAAACGUUGUAUUCAAUAUAUUCUGAUUAAGGAUACAUGAGACAGUACUGAUACGAUGAAGUGUCGUUAUUGCGUCGCUUCCCGAGUCCCAUCCAAGAAGCAAUGAUAAAGAUUGCAAAUGGUUUUUUGUAUCCACAAACACGCACAAGUUUUAUCAAUAGCAUAUUACUUUCAACGUCAAUAUACUAGGCUAGUCGAUAAAAUAUAUCGAAACUCCGUUAGAGGAAAAACGAAACUUAUUACAUGAAGAGUCAACUUUUUAUUUUUGCUUCUUUUCUUUUUUUUUUUUUUUCAUUUUUUUGCCAGCUUCUUCGGUUGAAUACAAUGA